rnacentral:rRNA from 1 species
GUCGAGCGCCUCGCAAGAGGAGCGGCAGACGGGUGAGUAACGCGUGGGAAUCUACCCAUCUCUACGGAACAACUCCGGGAAACUGGAGCUAAUACCGUAUACGUCCUUCGGGAGAAAGAUUUAUCGGAGAUGGAUGAGCCCGCGUUGGAUUAGCUAGUUGGUGGGGUAAUGGCCUACCAAGGCGACGAUCCAUAGCUGGUCUGAGAGGAUGAUCAGCCACAUUGGGACUGAGACACGGCCCAAACUCCUACGGGAGGCAGCAGUGGGGAAUAUUGGACAAUGGGCGAAAGCCUGAUCCAGCCAUGCCGCGUGAGUGAUGAAGGCCCUAGGGUUGUAAAGCUCUUUCAACGGUGAAGAUAAUGACGGUAACCGUAGAAGAAGCCCCGGCUAACUUCGUGCCAGCAGCCGCGGUAAUACGAAGGGGGCUAGCGUUGUUCGGAAUUACUGGGCGUAAAGCGCACGUAGGCGGAUAUUUAAGUCAGGGGUGAAAUCCCGGGGCUCAACCCCGGAACUGCCUUUGAUACUGGGUAUCUCGAGUCCGAGAGAGGUGAGUGGAAUUCCGAGUGUAGAGGUGAAAUUCGUAGAUAUUCGGAGGAACACCAGUGGCGAAGGCGGCUCACUGGCUCGGUACUGACGCUGAGGUGCG